rnacentral:tRNA from 1 species
AGUGUGGCUCAACGGUAGAGCAGCUGACUUGUAAUCAGCAGGUUGUAGGUUCGAUUNAUUUGGGAUUA